UACAGAGGUCUCAAGCGUUGUUCGGAUUCAUUGGGCGUAAAGGGUGUGUAGGCGGUCUUCUAAGUUUGGUGUGAAAUCUCCCGGCUCAACUGGGAGGGUGCGCCGAAAACUGGGAGGCUAGAGUACUGGAUGGGAGAGUGGAAUUCCUGGUGUAGCGGUGAAAUGCGCAGAUAUCAGGAAGAACACCCGUGGCGAAGGCGGCUCUCUGGGACGGUACUGACGCUGAGACGCGAAAGCGUGGGGAGCGAACAGG
rnacentral:rRNA from 1 species